rnacentral:hammerhead_ribozyme from 1 species
AUUCAGUUGACGAGUCCCAAUGAGGACGAAACGCUCGUCCUGGAU